rnacentral:rRNA from 1 species
CCCCUAGAUGUUCUGGGCCGCACGCGCGCUACACUGAACAGUUCAACAAGUCUUAACCUUGGCCGAUAGGUCUGGGUAUCUUUGAACGCUGUUCGUGAUUGGGAUAGACCUUUGCAAUUAUGGGUCUUCAACGAGGAAUUCCUAGUAAACGCAAGUCAUCAGCUUGCAUUGAUUACGUCCCUGCCCUUUGUACACACCGCCCGUCGCACCUACCGAUUGAAUGGUCCGGUGAAAUCUCGGGACGGCGGCUUGGUCGCUUGCGUCCGACUGCUGAAACUUGAUUAAACCAUAUCAUUUAGAGGAAGGUGAAGUCGUAACA